rnacentral:rRNA from 1 species
UACAGAGGUCCCAAGCGUUGUUCGGAUUCACUGGGCGUAAAAGGGUGCGUAGGCGGUUGGAUAAGUCUGAUGUGAAAUCUUCGAGCUCAACUCGGAAACUGCAUCGGAAACUAUCCAGCUCGAGGAUUGGAGGGGAGACUGGAAUUCUCGGUGUAGCAGUGAAAUGCGUAGAUAUCGAGAGGAACACCAGUGGCGAAGGCGAGUCUCUGGACAAUUCCUGACGCUGAGGCACGAAAGCUAGGGGGAGCAAACAGG